rnacentral:rRNA from 1 species
AUGGCUCAGUGAGGCCUUGGGACUGGCUCAGAGAGGUCGGCAACGACCACUCAGAGCCGGAAACUUGGUCAAACUUGGUCAUUUAGAGGAAGUAAAAGUCGUAACAAGGUCUCCUUCCCCGGGUGACACCAAGGAAGCCUUAGCAGCCCGAAAGGGUGAACCCCCGCGACUAUAAAACAGGGGAGGUUCUGAAAUGCUAGUCGGGCCAGUCUCUCCAGGACUGGGGCCCGGCAACACCGUCAAAUUGCGGGAAGCUCCUAAAGCUCCAACUACCAAGCGGCGUGGGAAACCACGCCGUGGCCAGGGUAAUGACCUCGGGUAAGGUAACAACGUUGGAGAUACUACAAUGGAUAAUCCGCAGCCAAGUCCUAACCCUCGUUCGCGAAGUAUGGAUGCUGUUCACAGACUAAAUGGUGGUGGGUGAGUUGUCACAACUUGCUUAAGAUAUAGUCGGGCCUCCGAGGAAACUUGGAGGGGUCAUCAAACGUUCCGUAGGUGAACCUGCGGAAGGAUCAUUAACGAGUUAGGGUCUCUCACGGCCCGACCUCCCAACCCUUUGUUUAACAAACAAUUUUUGUUGCUUCGGCGGGCCCGUCCCCCUGGGGACCGCCGGAGGACCGUCGAGAGACGUCCUCUGGUCCGCGCCCGCCGAUGGCCCAACUUCAAACUUCUGAAUGAAUCGUGUCUUGAUUGUCUAAGUCAUUGAUUAAAUACAAGCAAAAACUUUCAACAACGGAUCUCUUGGUUCUGGCAUCGAUGAAGAACGCAGCGAAAUGCGAUAAGUAAUGCGAAUUGCAGAAUUCCAGUGAGUCAUCGAAUCUUUGAACGCACAUUGCGCCCUUUGGUAUUCCGAAGGGCAUGCCUGUUCGAGCGUCAUUAUCACCCCUCAAGCCCACCGGGUUUGGUGUUGGACGGCCUGGUCGGAUCACCCCCGACCCCUCCUAAAGACAAUGACGGCGGCCUCGUGGGACCCCCGGUACACUGAGCUUCUUUAUUGAGCACGUAUCGGCUUUGUUGGGUUCCCGGGACCCGUUCCCUCAAUCUAUCAUCUCAAGGUUGACCUCGGAUCAGGUAGGAAUACCCGCUGAACUUAAGCAUAUCAAUAAGCGGAGGAAAAGAAACCAACAGGGAUUGCCUCAGUAACGGCGAGUGAAGCGGCAUGAGCUCAAAUUUGAAAUCUGGCCUCUUUGGGGUCCGAGUUGUAAUUUGUAGAGGAUGUUUCGGGUACCGCUCCGGUUUAAAUUUCUUGGAACAGAAUGUCAGAGAGGGUGAGAAUCCCGUCUUGGACCGGCGGUAGGGCCCAUGUGAAACUCCUUCGACGAGUCGAGUUGUUUGGGAAUGCAGCUCAAAAUGGGUGGUAAAUUUCAUCUAAAGCUAAAUAUUGGCCAGAGACCGAUAGCGCACAAGUAGAGUGAUCGAAAGAUGAAAAGCACUUUGAAAAGAGAGUUAAACAGUAUGUGAAAUUGUUGAAAGGGAAGCGCUUGCAACCAGACUUGCGCGCGGCGGUUCCCCCUUCCUUUUGGUUGGGCUACUCCGCCGUGUCCAGGCCAACAUCGGUCCUGGGGGUCGGUCAAAGGCCUUGGGAAUGUAUCUACCUCCGGGUCGACUUAUAGCCCAGGGUGUCAUGCGACCUCCCGGGACCGAGGAACGCGCUUCGGCUCGGAUGUUGGCGUAAUGGUUGUCAGCGACCCGUCUUGAAACACGGACCAAGGAGUCUAACAUCUAUGCGAGUGUUUGGGUGUCAAACCCGGAACGCGAAAUGAAAGUGAACGGAGGUAGGAAGCUUCGGCUGCACUAUCGACCGAUCCUGAUGUCUUCGGAUGGAUUUGAGUAAGAGCAUAGCUGUUGGGACCCGAAAGAUGGUGAACUAUGCCUGAAUAGGGUGAAGCCAGAGGAAACUCUGGUGGAGGCUCGCAGCGGUUCUGACGUGCAAAUCGAUCGUCAAAUUUAGGUAUAGGGGCGAAAGACUAAUCGAACCAU